AUGAGGCCCCGGAGUGGCCAGGUGGGGCCUGGGCCUGGCCCCAGGCUGCCCUGGGCCCUGCUGCUGCUGGGCCUGGGUGUGGGUGCCCAGGACCUGUGGAUCCCAACAGCAGCACCCCGGAGCAAGGCCCUGGGCCCUGGAGGCCCUGUAGGAAGCAGCCGGUUCAACCUGCGGAUCCCAUGGCACAGGUUGCCGCUCCAGCCCGGCCCCCAAGAGGCAGGCCCCAGGUGCUGGCCCCACGGGUUUUGGUCUGAGUCUCAGUCACGGUGGUAUAUCUUUGGCAGUGGGACCCAGCUCUCAGUCACAGGUCAGCCUGUGGUCGCCCCCUUGGUCACUCUGUUUCCGCCCUCCUCAGAGGAGCUCAAGGCCAACAAGGCCACCCUGGUGUGUCUGAUCAGUGACUUCUACCCAGGCACAGUGACGGUGGCCUGGAAGGCAGAUGGAGCCACCAUCACCCAAGGCAUGGAUUUCACCCAGCCCUCUAAACAGAGCAACAACAAGUACAUGGCCAGCAGCUUCCUCAGCCUUUCACGUGGACAGUGGACAUCGCAUAGCCACUUCACUUGCCAGGUCACCCAUGAGGGGAAAACCAUGGAGAAGAGCGUGGCCCCUGCACGCUGUCCUUAG